CAGCAUCCACUUCAGCAAUGUUUCAAUUAAAACCACCAUGUCAAUAUAAUGUUCGUAACAAAGUUGUGCAAGAGAAAUCUGGGGCUUUGAAAUAAGACAAACAUCAUCAAUCACAACAGGAAUAAAGUCCAUCAAUCAAAAAUGUAACUGAGACUGGAAUAACAGCAACUUGUGAUGUUUUAAUUGACACAUAAGCACAACUUUCCUUCCAUUACUAUAAUCAAGUAAUUAAAUCGAGUGAGAUGCAGAACGACUUUCAACCACACUCUACGGGCAGAAUAAUACAGAGGCCUGAAGAACCAAGUGUUUAUGCUCAGGAAUUUGAUACAGUUGUUUGUGAAGUCUGGGAAACCAUCUCAACAUUUCAGCAACUAGCUGCCUUUUCCAAAAAAGAUUUGUCAUCUCAUCGGGCUGAGAAAAUUAUACUCUGAAGAAGUAGUUAUGGACCCUAAAGCUAUUGAACGUGGACCCAUAUUAAAUGGAUCAUUAACUGCUUGAAUGCCAAGAUUACCUGGGGAUUUUGAACAUAUGGAAUGUUUAUGAUGGAUUAAAGGAAGUAACAUAUGAUUUCUGUUAAAUGGCUGCUUCUCUGAUUAACUUAUUGUAUGGACGGAAACUGAUUAUUACACUUUGGUACUGUUGUUUUAAACUUCACUAAAUAACUAAGGUCAACAAAUACAUGAUGACGAUCUGUCACUUUA